rnacentral:misc_RNA from 1 species
GAUGAAGAACGUAGCGAAAUGCAAUACUUGGUGUGAAUUGCAGAAUCCCGUGAACCAUCGAGUCUUUGAACGCAAGUUGCGCCCGAAGCCAUUAGGCCGAGGGCACGCCUGCCUGGGCGUCACACGUCGUUGCCCCCCCAUCUACUCCUUCGGGAUUGCGGGGGGCGGAUGAUGGCCUCCCGUGCGCCUCGCCGCGCGGUUGGCAUAAAUGCCAAGUCCUCGGCGACGCACGCCACGACAAUCGGUGGUUGCGAAACCUCGGUUGCCCGUCGUGUGCGGUCGUCGCGCAUCGAGGGCUCGAAAAAAUUGCCGGGUUCCGGCUCGGCUUUCAACGCGACCCCAGGUCAGGCGGGGUUACCCGCUGAAUUUAAGCAUAUCAAUAAGCGGAGGA